UCCCUGAAGGACUAGUGUUUUGGCCACUGCAGUCUCACUGCCAUGGCCCGGGUUCCAUUCUCGGCCAGGGAA